rnacentral:lncRNA from 1 species
UAUCCCAAGAUAACCCCAUGGUACCUGCACUAUGAACCUACAGCUCAUCCUGCUCCAUCUGCACCCCACCUUAUGUCUGUUGGUGAGGACCAUGUCCAGCUCAUUACAAACUGGUGUCUCUGGCCCUACCAGGCCCAAGGGCUGCCCUCCCUCCAUACAUUUAUGCUAUCUUGAUAUACAUUAAGCUCAUCAGAGUCUUGUGGUAAAAGCAAAUGAAUCACAAAUGAAGGGAGAAAAAGAGAAACUGUUUUCACAUGGGUUCUGAAAACUCUGAAUUCACUGUGUACUAUCUGAAUGGCAAGGCCACAGGCAACUAAAGGGAAUAUGAGAAAGGAAAACAGUCCCCUGACUUGCUUUCAAUUUGGUAUCUGCCUUCCUGCCUUUUUUAAAUGGGAAUAUGUGGUGCUGUGGGUUGGGAAAUAAACAGAUGUAGCUGGAAGCAACAGAUCUGCUUCUUUAGUCUCACAGCACAGCAACACUUGAAUAAACACGAAAUGUCCCUGGGAAGAGCCCUCCUGGAGCUACUGCCAAGUGACAGACGGGCUGAAGAGGAUCUCAUCACAAGUUAACAGCAGAAUUCCCUUUUGACUCCUACAGGAUCUCCCACUCUGUCUGGAGAAAGCAAGGAGUGAAGGCAGAAGCUGGAACUUCUAUGGUCAAGAAGUGGUUUUAAUCCCAUUCAAUUAAUCUACACCAAUUUGUAUAAAUCUGUGAAUUUAUGACAAAGCUCCGAUUUUUUGCUUCUGGGUGUUAAGCAUUUGUUACUUCAGUAUGAUGAAUGACCAAUAUAUGCAAAUUUCUGUCAUUUGCUUGCCCUUAUACAUUUUUUUUUCACAAAUAUAUAUCUACUGUCUUACUAAAUAUAAAUAUUCUACUAGAAACUUUGCAACAGUUAUGUGUCUAUGAGCUGGAAAACAAGGAAGAAAAUUUUUGCUCAAAGAGAAGAGGAUGAAAAAGACACUCUACUUUUUCAGUAGCUCAUGACCAUAUCCAGAAAGUUUUUUUUAUCCCAAAAGGUGUCCAUGAUUUAUCAGUGCAUUAUGCAUCUUCUGCAUUACUGAAGGUCAUUUUCUAAGACAUAACACUGAAUAAAUAAAGUGGUUCACUGAGAGAGAAGAUGGAU